AUUGAACGCUGGCGGCAGGCUUAACACAUGCAAGUCGAGCGAGCGGCGGACGGGUGAGUAAUGUCUGGGAAACUGCCUGAUGGAGGGGGAUAACUACUGGAAACGGUAGCUAAUACCGCAUACCAUCAGAUGUGCCCAGAUGGGAUUAGCUAGUAGGUGGGGUAAUGUCUCACCUAGGCGACGAUCCCUAGCUGGGCUGAGAGGAUGACCAGCCAGACUGGGACUGAGACACGGUCCAGACUCCGCCGGGCGGCAGAAGUGGGGAAGGGUGCACAAUGGGCGCAAUCCUGAUGCAGCCAUGCCGCGUGUGUGAAGAAGGACUGCAGGUUGUAAAGUACUUUCAGCGGGGAGGCGUUACUCGCAGAAGAAACACCGGCUAACUCCGGGCCAGCCGCCGCGGUAAUUC
rnacentral:rRNA from 1 species